GCCCGGGUGGCGAAAGGGUAGACGCAGGGGACUUAAAAUCCCCCGGAGAUCGCUCCGUGUCGGUUCGAAUCCGACCCCGGGCACCA
rnacentral:tRNA from 1 species